GACGAACGCUGGCGGCGUGCCUAAUACAUGCAAGUCGAACGCUUCUUUCCUCCCGAGUGCUUGCACUCAAUUGGAAAGAGGAGUGGCGGACGGGUGAGUAACACGUGGGUAACCUACCCAUCAGAGGGGGAUGACACUUGGAAACAGGUGCUAAUACCGCAUAACAGUUUAUGCCGCAUGGCAUAAGAGUGAAAGGCGCUUUCGGGUGUCGCUGAUGGAUGGACCCGCGGUGCAUUAGCUAGUUGGUGAGGUAACGGCUCACCAAGGCCACGAUGCAUAGCCGACCUGAGAGGGUGAUCGGCCACACUGGGACUGAGACACGGCCCAGACUCCUACGGGAGGCAGCAGUAGGGAAUCUUCGGCAAUGGACGAAAGUCUGACCGAGCAACGCCGCGUGAGUGAAGAAGGUUUUCGGAUCGUAAAACUCUGUUGUUAGAGAAGAACAAGGACGUUAGUAACUGAACGUCCCCUGACGGUAUCUAACCAGAAAGCCACUGCUAACUACGUG
rnacentral:rRNA from 1 species